rnacentral:rRNA from 1 species
UACGGGGGGGGCAAGCGUUGUUCGGAAUUCCUGGGCGUAAAGGGCUCGUAGGUGGCCAACUAAGUCGGACGUGAAAUCCCUCGGCUUAACCGGGGAACUGCGUCCGAUACUGGAUGGCUUGAGUUUGGGAGAGGGAUGCGGAAUUCCAGGUGUAGCGGUGAAAUGCGUAGAUAUCUGGAGGAACACCGGUGGCGAAGGCGGCAUCCUGGACCAACACUGACACUGAGGAGCGAAAGCGUGGGGAGCGAACAGG